CAGGUUGGCCACCCAGUAAUCAGCACAAGUUAGAAUGUGGGCAACUCGGCAGUCAUUGCUCAGGCUCUUUGGUGACUCUAGAUAACCUCGGGCCGAUCGCACGUCCCCGUGACGACGGCGACGACGCAUUCAGAUGUCUGCCCUAUCAACUUUCGAUGGUACUUUCUGCGCCUACCAUGGUGACCAUAGAUAACUGGGAAUCAGGGUUUGAUUCCGGAGAGGGAGCCUGAGUAACGGCUACCACAUCCAAGGAAGGCAACAGGCGCGCAAUUUACCCACUCCCGACGCGGGGAGAUAGUGA